AGUGAACGCUGGCGGUAGGCCUAACACAUGCAAGUCGAACGGCAGCACAGUAAGAGCUUGCUCUUACGGGUGGCGAGUGGCGGACGGGUGAGGAAUACAUCGGAAUCUACUUUUUCGUGGGAGAUAACGUAGGGAAACUUACGCUAAUACCGCAUACGACCUACGGGUGAAAGCAGGGGAUCUUCGGACCUUGCGUGAUUGAAUGAGCCGAUGUCGGAUUAGCUAGUUGGCGGGGUAAAGGCCCACCAAGGCGACGAUCCGUAGCUGGUCUGAGAGGAUGAUCAGCCACACUGGAACUGAGACACGGUCCAGACUCCUACGGGAGGCAGCAGUGGGGAAUAUUGGACAAUGGGCGCAAGCCUGAUCCAGCCAUACCGCGUGGGUGAAGAAGGCCUUCGGGUUGUAAAGCCCUUUUGUUGGGAAAGAAAAGCAGCAGGUUAAUACCCCGCUGUUCUGACGGUACCCAAAGAAUAAGCACCGGCUAACUUCGUG
rnacentral:rRNA from 1 species